rnacentral:rRNA from 1 species
ACGAACGCUGGCGGCGUGCCUAAUACAUGCAAGUAGAACGCUGAAGAGAGGAGCUUGCUCUUCUUGGAUGAGUUGCGAACGGGUGAGUAACGCGUAGGUAACCUGCCUUGUAGCGGGGGAUAACUAUUGGAAACGAUAGCUAAUACCGCAUAACAAUGGAUGACACAUGUCAUUUAUUUGAAAGGGGCAAUUGCUCCACUACAAGAUGGACCUGCGUUGUAUUAGCUAGUAGGUGAGGUAAUGGCUCACCUAGGCGACGAUACAUAGCCGACCUGAGAGGGUGAUCGGCCACACUGGGACUGAGACACGGCCCAGACUCCUACGGGAGGCAGCAGUAGGGAAUCUUCGGCAAUGGGGGCAACCCUGACCGAGCAACGCCGCGUGAGUGAAGAAGGUUUUCGGAUCGUAAAGCUCUGUUGUAAGUCAAGAACGGGUGUGAGAGUGGAAAGUUCACACUGUGACGGUAGCUUACCAGAAAGGGACGGCUAACUACGUGCCAGCAGCCGCGGUAAUACGUAGGUCCCGAGCGUUGUCCGGAUUUAUUGGGCGUAAAGCGAGCGCAGGCGGUUUGAUAAGUCUGAAGUUAAAGGCUGUGGCUCAACCAUAGUUCGCUUUGGAAACUGUCAAACUUGAGUGCAGAAGGGGAGAGUGGAAUUCCAUGUGUAGCGGUGAAAUGCGUAGAUAUAUGGAGGAACACCGGUGGCGAAAGCGGCUCUCUGGUCUGUAACUGACGCUGAGGCUCGAAAGCGUGGGGAGCGAACAGGAUUAGAUACCCUGGUAGUCCACGCCGUAAACGAUGAGUGCUAGGUGUUGGAUCCUUUCCGGGAUUCAGUGCCGCAGCUAACGCAUUAAGCACUCCGCCUGGGGAGUACGACCGCAAGGUUGAAACUCAAAGGAAUUGACGGGGGCCCGCACAAGCGGUGGAGCAUGUGGUUUAAUUCGAAGCAACGCGAAGAACCUUACCAGGUCUUGACAUCCCGAUGCUAUUUCUAGAGAUAGAAAGUUACUUCGGUACAUCGGUGACAGGUGGUGCAUGGUUGUCGUCAGCUCGUGUCGUGAGAUGUUGGGUUAAGUCCCGCAACGAGCGCAACCCCUAUUGUUAGUUGCCAUCAUUCAGUUGGGCACUCUAGCGAGACUGCCGGUAAUAAACCGGAGGAAGGUGGGGAUGACGUCAAAUCAUCAUGCCCCUUAUGACCUGGGCUACACACGUGCUACAAUGGUUGGUACAAAGAGUUGCGAGUCGGUGACGGCGAGCUAAUCUCUUAAAGCCAAUCUCAGUUCGGAUUGUAGGCUGCAACUCGCCUACAUGAAGUCGGAAUCGCUAGUAAUCGCGGAUCAGCACGCCGCGGUGAAUACGUUCCCGGGCCUUGUACACACCGCCCGUCACACCACGAGAGUUUGUAACACCCGAAGUCGGUGAGGUAACCUUUUGGAGCCAGCCGCCUAAGGUGGGACAGAUGAUUGGGGUG